GUUUUAUUGUGGACAUGUAAAUUUCUCUGAGCCAUUCUUGCUCCUUAAACAUAUAAAAAUGUUUUAGUUAUGUGUGUUUAAUGGUUGAAUCUACACCUUGCAUGUAUUGCUUAACCAGUAUUCUUUACAAAAGAUAACAUUCAUAAACCAAGUAGGUCUUAUUUCCUGAUUUAACAUUGUUUCAGCAUAUACACCUUCUUGCUGUGUAAACUUGCACACCUUGCCACAGCUACUUCAUUUCGUUUUAUAUUUGGAAUUUCAAAGCUUAAGGAGUCAACGAUUCUAAAAGCCAUUCUUUGAUACCAAACACUUUAUUGAUGAUCAUUUAAUUAAAAACAAACAUAUGUGGUAUAAUUAUACAUGUUUUAGUUUAUAGUCAUGGUGCAAGAAAAAAACAGCAUCAGACAGACUUCAGACGUCUCUUCAUUCAGCUCCUUGUCAUUAUGGUUUGCCUUUGCCAUCCUUUCCAUCCUUUCCAGGUCCGUGACCGUGUCCGUGACCGUGACCAUGACCAUGACCAUGUCCGUGACCAUGACCCUUGCCUUGCCCUUGUCCUGGUCCUUUUCCCUUGCCUUCACCUUUGCCUUCACCCUUGCCUUCACCCUUGCCUUCACCCUGGCAUUGUUUGCUCUUAUCGCACUGCAGAAGAAAUAUACAUGAGUGUCAUAUUUUUAAAGCAUAUAAUGCUAUUGUUACAUAUGUAUAUUAUAUGUACAGUACACAUGCAUAUCAUUAGCACAUAUGUCGGAAAGAAGAAAAGAAGUGUAGCUGUUACCUGAGGGGUUUUAUCUUUCCAUGUAAAAAGAGAAAACAGAGCACAUAUUUUAGACUGAAUAAACAAAAUUAUCUUUUAGAAAUAGUUAUAGAACAUAGAAAAAAAGUAUAUAUAUAUAUAUAUAUAUAUAUAU
ensembl:lncRNA